rnacentral:rRNA from 1 species
GUGGGGAAUAUUGGACAAUGGGGGGAACCCUGAUCCAGCCAUGCCGCGUGUGUGAAGAAGGCCUUUUGGUUGUAAAGCACUUUAAGCGAGGAGGAGGCUACCGAGAUUAAUACUCUUGGAUAGUGGACGUUACUCGCAGAAUAAGCACCGGCUAACUCUGUGCCAGCAGCCGCGGUAAUACAGAGGGUGCAAGCGUUAAUCGGAUUUACUGGGCGUAAAGCGCGCGUAGGUGGCCAAUUAAGUCAAAUGUGAAAUCCCCGAGCUUAACUUGGGAAUUGCAUUCGAGACUGGUUGGCUAGAGUAUGGGAGAGGAUGGUAGAAUUCCAGGUGUAGCGGUGAAAUGCGUAGAGAUCUGGAGGAAUACCGAUGGCGAAGGCAGCCAUCUGGCCUAAUACUGACACUGAGGUGCGAAAGCAUGGGGAGCAAACAGGAUUAGAAACCCUAGUAGUCC